GACGAACGCUGGCGGCGUGCUUAACACAUGCAAGUCGAACGGAAAGGCCCUGCUUUUGUGGGGUGCUCGAGUGGUGAACGGGUGAGUAACACGUGAGUAACCUGCCCUUGACUUUGGGAUAACUUCAGGAAACUGGGGCUAAUACCGGAUAGGAGCUCCUGCUGCAUGGUGGGGGUUGGAAAGUUUCGGCGGUUGGGGAUGGACUCGCGGCUUAUCAGCUUGUUGGUGGGGUAGUGGCUUACCAAGGCUUUGACGGGUAGCCGGCCUGAGAGGGUGACCGGCCACAUUGGGACUGAGAUACGGCCCAGACGCCUACGGGAGGCAGCAGUGGGGAAUAUUGCACAAUGGGCGGAAGCCUGAUGCAGCAACGCCGCGUGCGGGAUGACGGCCUUCGGGUUGUAAACCGCUUUCGCCUGUGACGAAGCGUGAGUGACGGUAAUGGGUAAAGAAGCACCGGCUAACUACGUG
rnacentral:rRNA from 1 species